rnacentral:rRNA from 1 species
UACGAACGCUGGCGGCAGGCCUAACACAUGCAAGUCGAACGCCCCGCAAGGGGAGUGGCAGACGGGUGAGUAACGCGUGGGAACGUGCCCCAAGGUAGGGAACAACAGCGGGAAACUGCUGCUAAUACCCUAUGUGACCGAGAGGUGAAAGAUUUAUCGCCUUGGGAUCGGCCCGCGUUGGAUUAGCUAGUUGGUGGGGUAAAAGCCUACCAAGGCGACGAUCCAUAGCUGUUCUGAGAGGAAGAUCAGCCACACUGGGACUGAGACACGGCCCAGACUCCUACGGGAGGCAGCAGUGGGGAAUCUUGGACAAUGGGCGCAAGCCUGAUCCAGCCAUGCCGCGUGAGUGAUGAAGGCCUUAGGGUUGUAAAACUCUUUCGCCGAGGACGAUAAUGACGGUACUCGGAGAAGAAGCUCCGGCUAACUUCGUGCCAGCAGCCGCCGUAA